rnacentral:rRNA from 1 species
UGAGGAAUCUUGCGCAAUGGAGGAAACUCUGACGCAGCCACGCCGCGUGCAGGAAGACACCCCUCAGGGGCGUAAACUGCUUUUAUACGGGAAGAACACCCUACUCGGUAGGGUCUGACGGUACCGUAUGAAUAAGGACCGGCUAACUCCGUGCCAGCAGCCGCGGUAAUACGGAGGGUCCAAGCGUUGUCCGGAAUCACUGGGUGUAAAGGGUGUGUAGGCGGGCCUGCAAGUCAGAGGUGAAAGCCCCCGGCCUAACCGGGGAAUUGCCUUUGAGACUGCAGGUCUUGAGUCCUGGAGGGGUCACUAGAAUUCGUGGUGUAGCGGUGAAAUGCGUAGAUAUCACGAGGAAUACCAGAGGCGAAGGCGGGUGACUGGACAGGUACUGACGCUGAGGCACGAAAGCGUGGGGAGCAAACAGGAUUAGAUACCCCCGUAGUCC